rnacentral:rRNA from 1 species
AUACGUAGGGUGCAAACGUUGUCCGGAAUUACUGGGUGUAAAGGGCAUGUAGGCGGUUCUGUAAGCCUGACGUGAAAGGCUAUGGCUCAACCAUGGCACUGCGUUGGGAACUGCGGGACUUGAAUCAUGGAGAGGGAGCUGGAAUUCCAGGUGUAGGGGUGAAAUCUGUAGAUAUCUGGAAGAACACCAGUGGCGAAGGCGAGCUCCUGGCCAAUGAUUGACGCUGAGGUGCGAAAGUGUGGGGAUC